AUGAAUUUCCUUUUUUGGAACUGUCGGGGAUUGGGGUUGAACCCGACAGUUGGAGAGUUGAGGGACCUGAUUAGGUCGUACAACCCAGCGGUGGUUUUUCUGUGUGAGACAAAGAAGAAGGCGCGAGCAAUGGAUAAAGUCAAAUGGAGUCUAGGGUUCUGUCACGGCGUUGCGGUGGAUUGUGAGGGAAGGAGUGGUGGAUUAGCUCUA
rnacentral:rRNA from 1 species